AAACAACAAAAAAAAAAAAAAAAUGAGAACUAGUCUAGAACUAGUGCUUCCCAGUUCGAACUUAUGGUGGAUUAUAUGGAAAAGAACGGGGACCUUAGCAAACUUACGGAAGGUCCACAAGGCCGCAUAAAAAAUAUUCAACAGUGGACCGAUCUUACUUUAGCGCUAAAUGCUGAUGGUACGGGUGAUUAAAAAAAAACAGCCGAGAAGUGGAGAAAGGUAUGGAGUGACCUUAAAAAUAAUACUAAAAGAAAGGCAGCUAGAUUGCACAGAGCUGCCAUAGGAACUGGUGGUGGACCAGCGGCAAAAAUAAAAUAAAAUAAUUUAGAACUCCGCAUUCUAAAUAUUAUUGGGUCGCAAGCAGAUAUGGGAAUGAGGUGAUGGAAAUUGGCUCACAUCAGGUUAUUUUCAUUUAUUUUUAUUUUAUUUCUUUACUUUCUUCAAACACUACUGUUUAUUUUUGCAUCUAAGCAUGAAUUUAUAUUAUUUAUUAUCAUUAAGCAGGUGAACAGUAUGACUGUGUAACUUAUAUCCUGUAACAAGUAUGUUGACUUAUUUGUUCUUGCUCAUAGUCCGGAAAUUAUACAGAAAUUGUACUGCUAGGUUUUUUAUCUUAAUGCUAAGAAAUACCUAAUACCGUUAUUUAUUCUUUAUUUUAUUCUUUAUUGCACAAUAUAAAAGCAUUCUCUAC